UACGUAGGGUGCGGGCGUUGUCCGGAAUUAUUGGGCGUAAAGAGCUCGUAGGCGGUCUGUCGCGUCGGUCGUGAAAACUUGGGGCUUAACCCUGAGCUUGCGGUCGAUACGGGCAUGACUGGAGUUCGGCAGGGGAGACUGGAAUUCCUGGUGUAGCGGUGAAAUGCGCAGAUAUCAGGAGGAACACCGGUGGCGAAGGCGGGUCUCUGGGCCGAUACUGACGCUGAGAGACGAAAGCUAGGGGAGCGAAUGGG
rnacentral:rRNA from 1 species